UCCAUCUUUAUAUGUCUAAGUUUCUGAUGGAGUGAAAGUAAUGUAAUUUAUAAAACAAAUACGAGAUGAAGAUAUUAAACUGAUUUUGCUUCUUCUCUACCGUUCGAAGCUCCUUAGAAUGCUCUCUCCAUUUUCAGAAAGGAAAAGAGUUCAGCGUUUCGUAUCUUUCAUAUUCAUGACGACUCACUAUAUCAAAAUACUUAUGCAAGAAAUCGAUAUAACUUGUGAUGUAGCGUCAUCUCGUUACGUGUUUCACAAGUCGUAUCGUUUUAGAAGUUUUCCUUUAUGUUUGAAUUUUCCUUUUAUGUUUAAUUUCUAUUUCUUUGAGCUCUGCAAUUAGGUCUUAGAGUGUUUCUUAUGACGGUUUAUUGACACCUAUAUAAAGCUUUGUAAUCUCUCUUAAGAGAGUUGGUUUUUAUUGAAUAAGAAAAGAGGUUUCCCUCACAUUGAAGUCUUCGAAUUCUCUCUGUUUUACAAAGAAUUCAAAGCACAAAACCUUGUUUCAAGAUCCAUUGAUCCUUGAAACCUUGUUUUGCUAUUUUACCGCUGCAUUAGUUGGUAUCAGAGACAAACGAAUCCUAGUCAUGCCGCCAAAGAAGAGCCUUCAAGCGACACUAGAGGAGCACAACGAUGCGUUUAGAUUGAUGAUGACUGAGUUUCAGCAGAGUUUGAGUGAUACUUUGCGUACUACCAUGGAAUCUGCCGUGAGAACUCUUGCUCAAGGUCAACAAAACGCAGCUCCGGUGUUACCACGUCAAGAAGAACCAGUGCCGGCCCGGUAAAUUUGGGUGCCCUAAGCAAAAUUAAAGUCAUAAAAAAAAAAUUCUUUUAAAUUAGAUUUUUACCAUUAAAAAGAAUGUUGUAGUUGUCUCUAAAAGCCAACAAUAUUUUUAAAAGGCCCUACAAAAAAUAUUGUAUAUAAGAAAACUUAACAAAUUUUUAGGUAAAAAGGCUCUCAAAUUUUGAGGCCCUAAUCGGUGGCUUCGGUGGCUUGCCCUCUGGGCCGGCCCUGAGAAGAACCACUCUUUGACGACGACGAUGAAGAGGAAGAUAACGUCUUUGUCAAUCACUUUGCACCGUUGGGUGAACAGAAUCAACGUGGUGCUCGCCAACAGCGUGACAUCAUCGCAGUCCCACAAGGGGAUAAUAGAAGAUGGGAGUCGGGUUUUAAGCUUGAAUUACCAGAGUUUACGGGUGGGCUUCAAUCUGAAGACUUCCUUGAUUGGAUUAACAUAACAGAGGAGCUGUUGGAAUUCAAAGAAGUCCCUGAUCAUAUGCGUGUGUCUCUGGUGGCAACGCGUUUUCGAGGUCGAGCUUCAGCGUGGUGGCAGCAAUUGAAAGCUUCUCGUGCUCAAGCAGGGAAGGAAAAGCUCGUAUCAUGGGAAAAAUUGAAGAAAUUAAUGAGAAAAGCUUUUUUGCCUUACAAUUACACUCGUACCUUGUACACGAAAUUACAGAAUUUAAGACAAGGGAGUAAAUCUGUGGAUGAAUAUGCUGCAGAUUUUUUUUCAUUAAUGGCACGUAAUUCAUUGACGGAGAAUGAAGAACAAAGGGUGUCACGUUUUAUCGGAGGAUUACGGUCGCAAAUUCAAAGCACUUUACUUCAGUUUGAUCCUCUUACUGUUUCGGAAGCUCAUCAACGUGCCCUCUUGAUUGAACAGAACUCACGAAGUCAAACAAAUACGUGGAAUGCUCAGCGUGCUCGCUUAUCAUCGACAACAGAAUCUGGUCUUGUUAAGUGAUUGGAGCAAUCAAAAAUUUCAGAUGCUUUGGAAGGAAAUUCGUCUUUGGGACAUCAAAAACCUGCAACUUUCAAGUGUUUUAAAUGUGGCGAAACAGGGCAUCGCCAAUCUAACUGCCCCAAUAUUCAACGCCGCGGGUUGUUAGCAGCAGAUGAACCCAUAUUUGAUCAAUAUGAUGAUGAUACAGAGGUGGCUGAUGAGUGUGAAGAGAAAGUGGUGGGAGAUUCGGGUACCUUGUUAGUGCUUCGCAUGAAUUAUCUUAUUCCACAUGGAAUUGAAGAAUCUUGGCUUCGAUCAAAUAUUUUUCAAUCAACUUGUACGAUACGUGGUAAAGUUUGUCGUUUGGUUAUUGACUCGGGCAGCUGCACGAAUGCUAUUUCAGAGGAAGCUGUCACCAAACUAGCCUUGUUUACCGAACCACACCCAUCUCCUUACAAGAUUGCUUGGCUCACCUCAUCUACGGAUAUACGCAUUUCAAGACGUUGUCGGGUUUGUUGUGAUGUCGUGCCUAUGGACGCGUGUCAUAUUCUUUUAGGACGCCAAUGGCAGUAUGAUCGAAGAACUAUGCACGAUGGGUUUGCAAACACACAUAGUUUUCUUUAUGAGGGUAAGCGUAUCACUUUAUUACCAUCUCAGACUGCUUCAGAGCCGCUAGUCAUAAGUAAACCUGUUGAGUCUUCUCCGCUCCCAAUUGAAACUACAAAACCAGCGUUGUUAGUUUCCAAGUCGCAGAUUUUUGAAGAAUUUCAAACAACAGACAUAGUCUUUUUUCUGCUUCUCAAGCCGCAGAUUUUGUCCUUAAUUUCAUACGCACCAACAGAUUUUCAUGGAGUUUUGACUGAAUUUCAAGACGUGUUUCCUGAUGAAUUACCAGAGGGUCUACCACCAUUAAGAGGUAUUCAACAUUGUAUCGAUCUAGCCUCUAACACGGUGUUGCCAAAUCGACCACAUUACCGUAUGAGCCCUAAAGAACACGAUGAACUGCGGAAACAAGUUGAAGAUCUUUUGGCUAAGGGAUAUAUUCGUGAGAGCUUAAGUCCUUGUGGAGUUCCCGCUUUGCUUAUCCCCAAGAAGGAUGGAUCUUGGCGUAUGUGUGUAGACAGCAGAGCGAUUAACAAAAUUACUAUUCGCUACAGAUUUCCUAUCCCGCGUCUAGAUGAUCUCUUAGACCAAAUUGGAGCAACCUCUAUUUUUACAAAAUUAGAUCUUCGUAGCGGUUAUCAUCAGAUCCGAAUCAGACCGGGUGACGAGUGGAAAACAGCCUUUAAAACGCGAGAAGGAUUGUUUGAGUGGCUUGUAAUGCCUUUUGGGUUAUCGAACGCUCCAAGUACGUUCAUGCGAGUGAUGAAUGAAGCUUUGCGGCCAUUUAUUGGACGUUUUGUAGUUGUUUAUUUCGAUGAUAUACUCAUCUUUAGUGCAUCUCUGACCGAACAUCUCACUCACCUACGUGACGUUUUACUUGUGUUGCGACGAGAGAAGUUGUUUGCUGCUACAAAAAAGUGUGUGUUUGGUGUUGAACAAGUGCUUUUUUUGGGCUACAUUAUCUCUUCACGAGGCUUAGAAGCGGAUCCAACAAAGAUUUCAGCUAUACAAUCAUGGCCUACUCCUCGGACAGUGACUGAUGUGCGUAGUUUCCAUGGGCUAGCUUUAUCACUUUAGCAGCAUCAUGGCACCGGUAACAGACUGUAUGAAGUCAGACUCUUUUUGUUGGACCAAGGAAGCAGAGAUGGCGUUUCAAGAAAUCAAAACAAAGCUAACCUCUGCCCCGGUUCUUAUCCUUCCCGAUUUCAAUAUUGCUUUUGAAUUACACUGUGAUGCGUCUAAAGCAGGAAUCGGAGCAGUCUUAAGUCAAUCAAGUCGUCCAGUUGCUUUUUUUAGUGAAAAAAUUGCAGGAUCUCGUGAACGGUAUAGUACUUACGAUGUCGAGCUUUAUGCCGUCGUACAAGCUGUUAAGCAUUGGCGUCACUACCUCUUUCAUCGCGAAUUUGUUCUCUACACCGAUCAUGACGCUCUUAAACACAUGGGCUCUCAAGAUAAAGUCUCCGCAAGACAUGCUUCUUGGUUUGCAUAUUUACAACAAUUCUCUUUUGUUAUUAAGCAUACUGCUGGUACACUUAACAAGGUUGCUGAUGCGUUGAGUAGAAGACAUGUUCUGUUAACAACCUUACACGUCUCCGUCCCUGGACUUGUACCCAACUGAUCCAUUUUUUGGCAAAAUUUGGAGAGAUACUGAGCUGGGAAUCGGUACUGUUUAUGUGAUUUAUGAUGGCUUUUUGUUUCGUGGUGCUCAAUUAUGCAUUCCUGAGUGUAGUUUGAGGCUACAUCUAAUUCGUGAGCUUCAUGGUGAAGGCCACAUCGGAAGAGAUCGUACGUUGAAAUUGGUUAGUUCUUCUUACUUUUGGCCCACGUUACGCCGAGAUGUAGAACGGUUUAUUGUGCGUUGUGGAAUUUGUCAAGCAGCUAAGGGGAAAGCAACCAAUUCUGGUUUAUAUCUUCCUCUCCCAAUUCCCACACAGCCGUGGACAGACGUGAGUAUGGAUUUUGUGCUUGGUUUACCUAGAACGCAAAAAGGUAAUGACUCGAUCUUUGUCGUCGUUGAUCGUUUCUCCAAGAUGGUGCAUUUUAUUCCUUGUAAGAAGACGACAGAUGCAAUGCAAGUAGCUGUUUUGUUUUUUCGCGAGGUUUAUAAGCUUCACGGCUUGCCUUUGUCUAUUGUUUCGGAUCGAGACUCGCGCUUUUUGAGUCACUUUUGGCGAUCUCUUUGGCGACUUUUGCGCACAAAACUAGACAUGAGUUCAGCCUAUCACCCCCAAACGGAUGGCCAAACUGAAGUUACUAACAGAGCUUUAGGCGAUUUGUUGAGAUGCUUAGUUGGAGAUCAUAUCAAAUCAUGGGAUUUGGUACUUUGUCAGGCUGAAUUUGCUCAUAACCGAGCUGUUAACCGUAGUACAGGUUUUAGUCCUUUUCAAGUGGUUUGUGGCUAUUUACCUCGUUGUCCUGCGGAUCUAGCUAUUAGUCCAGAUCGUACCCGUUUUCAUGGUCGAGCUUGUGAUUUUGUCGAAGAAUUUGCUGCAAUUCAUGAUCAAGUUCAUUCUAAUUUGGAAACAGCCACAACAAAGUAUAAAUCUGCAGUUGAUUUGCAUCGACGUGACGUUCAAUUCAAGGUUGGAGAUCUAGUGUGGGCUGUGCUAACCAAGGAUCGUUUCAAGGCAGGAACUUACAACAAGCUCAAAGCAAGAAAGAUCGGCCCUCUUGAGAUAUUGGAGAAGAUUAAUAACAAUGCAUAUCGCCUCAAGCUUCCUCCACACAUGAACACAGCCGACGUCUUUAAUGUUAAGCAUUUGGUCCCAUUUAUUGCUGAAGAUGAUGCUGAUGAUAGUCAAAAUUCGGGGUCGAAUUUUCUUCUCACUCCGGGAGACCUGAUGUAGCGUCAUCUCGUUACGUGUUUCACAAGUCGUAUCGUUUUAGAAGUUUUCCUUUAUGUUUGAAUUUUUCUUUUAUGUUUAAUUUCUAUUUCUUUGAGCUCUGCAAUUAGGUCUUAGAGUGUUUCUUAUGACGGUUUAUUGACACCUAUAUAAAGCUUUGUAAUCUCUCUUAAGAGAGUUGGUUUUUAUUGAAUAAGAAAAGAGGUUUCCCUCA
rnacentral:lncRNA from 1 species